UCCCUGGUGGUCCAGUGGCUAAGACUCCAUAUUCGCAAUGCAGGGGGCCCAGGUUCGAUCCCUGGUCAGGGAA